AGACCCGAAACCCGGUGAUCUAGCCAUGGGCAGGUUGAAGGUUGGGUAACACUAACUGGAGGACCGAACCGACUAAUGUUGAAAAAUUAGCGGAUGACCUGUGGCUGGGGGUGAAAGGCCAAUCAAACCGGGAGAUAGCUGGUUCUCCCCGAAAGCUAUUUAGGUAGCGCCUCGUGAAUUCAUCUCCGGGGGUAGAGCACUGUUUCGGCUAGGGGGCCAUCCCGGCUUACCAACCCGAUGCAAACUGCGAAUACCGGAGAAUGUUAUCACGGGAGACACACGGCGGGUGCUAACGUCCGUCGUGAAGAGGGAAACAACCCAGACCGCCAGCUAAGGUCCCAAAGUCAUGGUUAAGUGGGAAACGAUGUGGGAAGGCCCAGACAGCCAGGAUGUUGGCUUAGAAGCAGCCAUCAUUUAAAGAAAGCGUAAUAGCUCACUGGUCGAGUCGGCCUGCGCGGAAGAUGUAACGGGGCUAAACCAUGCACCGAAGCUGCGGCAGCGACACUAUGUGUUGUUGGGUAGGGGAGCGUUCUGUAAGCCUGUGAAGGUGUGUCGUGAGGCAUGCUGGAGGUAUCAGAAGUGCGAAUGCUGACAUAAGUAACGAUAAAGCGG
rnacentral:rRNA from 1 species